CUAUUCACUGAGUUUUUGUGUAAAAGCCAGAAAAGUUCCAUGCUCAAGGAGAUGACUCUUGCCCAGAUCUAAAUUUUGCAGGCUUUCCUUUAGUUGCUGGGACAAAACACACAAACUUGUUACAGCAACCUACAAAAUAAUAACAACAAAAGGACAGCAAUGAAUGCACUUAAUAUAGACCGUUAGAAAAAGCCUUUGAAAAUUAACCAGCAAUGAAAUCUAAUGUAUCAGCCACUUCAAACUGUGGUCAAAAAGAUUUUUCUAACCAUCAGACACAAUUCCAAUGUCUCCGAGCUCUGCUGUUGCUUGCAUGCCCAGUGUAACGGUGUCCCAGCAAUUGUUCCAUUCCAAAUGAUUUUCAACUUCAAAAUGAUCGAUCUUUGAUAGAAACAUCAGGAUCUCUGGAGCAGCAUGGAUGUGAUAGUGAUUUUUAUUUUCUUAAAAAUGUAAACUGUGGACACUUGAAGGAACCAAGCCAACCAGAAUAUCCCCCAAAGUCCCACGCUAUCUAUUCCAUUAGGCCAUGACCCCGUGGUAUGUAGUAUGUCACAGCAAAUCAGAUCAGAGCCAAGCAAUGAAAUCAUCAUGAAAACAUAGGUCCACUAAGUACUCCAAUUACCAACGUAGGCAAAAUGAGCUUCCACCUCUGUCCCGUCCCUGCAGAGCCAAUGUAGUUGUGUUUCCACCUCGUAGGCGUCGUCCUAAAGUGACUUGUCAGACUGUGGUUACCCUGUCGUCACAUUUUUGUAGAAUUAGUUCUAUAAAAGUAUCGUGAAUAUAACAUAUGUCCAACUGGAUUGUUUAAAAAUUACUUAUAAUCAAUCACUAGUCUACUCAGCAGACUAAACUGACGUCAGCAUUCUCUUCAGGCUGAUAAACAUUUCUUGGUUUCCAACAGAAGUAAAAUGGGUUUGUGGGGCGACACCCUUGCUGAGAGUUGACAACUUUCCUGAAAGCUAGGCCUUCUUCUACAUAAUGAUUUUGUAUUGGGUUCACCUUAGUACAUUCUUAGUACAUCAAUCCACGCUCUUCUUUCCUUCAUGAACCCUAGUGGGUUCCUGAUAACUUGAUAACCAUUUCUGAAUCUGUCUUAACUAUUUGGUCUCCUCUGUCAGGCACUGGUGGCCACCACCUAAAUGCUCUUCCAUUAGAGGAAGUUAGGCCACGGUGUCCCAUGCCUGCUGCCCUCUCUUCCCCAUCUCUCCAAACCGAUGCACACUGGAAACAGAAGUACAAACUCCAUGCCCUUUACGGCUAGAGAUUUGAAUCUAAGCUGUUUUUUUUUUAAACCAAAAUGGCUAAGAUAGUUUCCCGGAGCAAGGGCUCUCCUCCAAAAACCAAUUGGCAGGAAUCCAUUUUCUUCUAAGGUAGAGCAAGGUUGUGCUGUUUUGCCUUUGUAAUAAUGAAUUGCUUGGGGCCAGAAAAUGAAAUAAGGCAUUUUUUAAAGGGAGUAUACAAAACGACUGGCCUGGUGGCUCCUUGGCAAAAACUGGUACCCAGUAGACGGAAAGUGAAAUGGAAACAGAAACGAGAUCGUAAGAUCAUCGAAGGGCUUGAAGGAAUGCCAGAGCUUCCCGAUUUGUUUCUAUUUGUGGAGCCCUGUGGCCCUGAGGGAAUCCUCACCUCACCACGCUCUGACAGACCUAUCUUCCUGGCUACGUUCAGCACCGACCAACGAUGGCCAUCGUUGGUAUAGUCCAUGUUAUAAGGCUCUGAGGUCCCACCCCAGUUUAGGAUUCCAGAGAAGCCAUUUUCCCAAAUUAGUAACUCAAGUGCUUUGGGAAUCAAACUCACCAACAGGCUAUUUUAAAAGCCGAAAGCACCUACUGAUAAAAGCAUCGCCACCAUCAUCAUCUUUCUCGUUAAGAAAACUUUUGCUUUCAUCUGAGCAAUUUUAUAUUUUAAAAUAGCCCCUUGAACCAAGAUAAAACACCUUCAAUAAAAGCGGUUGUGACUAAGGCAUGUUGGAGAACACCCAGAAGCUCUUUCCUUCCAAAGCUUGGGGCAUCUUAUAAUGUACUUUGUAUAAAAUCUAAUUGCGGACUUUAAAUAAACAGGGAAUUAGAACUGUUUGGUUAGGAUUAGAAAGGGAGAAAGUGAGAAGGCAUAAGAACAUUGGGGAUAUUUUCAUGUUGAAAAGCAAAGAGUCCAAGUUUCCUACUUAUGGUUUAAUACGAGGGUUCACAAGCUACAUCUGCAAAUAACUAGCUAUCCACUUCGAAAAUGUUCUUUCAACUCUCUGAGUCUCAGUGACCUCAUUUGUAAAUGAAAGUGAUUCAUCUAGGUGACUCUAAGGUCCCUUUCAGAUCUGAGAGGAUGUGCUGUGAGUUAAAAGGGGGGGAGCAUGGGAACAAGCCACCCCCUGGAGACAGCCUUGUCCUGUACUAGAAUAAUGGUCCUUCUUGCUGCACCACCCCAGCAGUCCUCCUGAGGGUAGUGCCUCUUCUGCUCUGGACACGUAGCAGCUAUGUUCAUUCCUCUGCUUUACAUUUGGGAGUCUCCUUAGGUUCAAAACGCAAAUUUCAAAAUUCAAACUCACCUGAAUCACGUUGGUCUGAUUUUUCUGUGUGUUCCUAGGGUUUUCUUCUCAAUCUCAUCCUGGCCUGCCUUUUUUAUUGGCUCAAGGCUCAAUUUCCAUCAAUCCCUUCAUUUCUAACCCAUAUCUCCAAUCUCCAAUAUGUAGUUGGAGGCUCACAACCCCCAGAUUUCUGCAGUUUUCCUCAUUUUUAUUUCCACGUGUGGAUCUGGGCACUAGGAAGGUACGAGUCUUACUUCUCACUUCAUUUCCCAUCCUCUGUUUAUUUGAUUUUUUUUCCUUUCAUCAGUACGGCAACUAUUUCUUUGCUACUUACAUUCAUAAGUCUAAUUUUCACCUACCAUUUUUCUUUGUCAAAGAGAAUCUCAGUUUAGAAAAAAGGAAGGAAGAGAGGUAGAAAGAGAGAAAAAAAUUUAAACCAAUUGUGACGUGAGUCACCUUACUUAUAGACGAUUAAACACAUCAUUCAAAUUGGACAUGGAAUUCCAGUGCAGAAUCCGUCCAUUUACUAUGGCGAGCAGAGGGAGAGUAAGAUGAGACUUCAGAGAAGGGGCUAGAAAGUAAAUUGUCUUAAGGGCCAAGCUAAGAGGUUGAGGCUUGCUCUAGAAACUCAUGGAAAGCCACUAGAUGUUUUAAACAAAGAGUGACAAACACCAAUAUCUGUGCACUUUUUAGGUUGUAUAUUUUGCGAAGUCAGUUCUUCCUGGAAGUCAUCAAGAGCAGAUACGCAGAGUUGAACAUUUUCUCAGCAGCGUGGAGUUCUCAAGGGUGCAAACUCCAAGUCCACACAACUCAGCACAUGAAGUCCUACCUUCCUCAAAUAAAUGUUAUAGAUCCUACUACUUGUAGAAGGUCAAAUGGCAGGGUAGGGGCUGGUGUGGGGGGCUGCUUUGAGGGCUGGCUGUUGGGGUCAUUGGCUGUAGUUCUGGAAAAGGUUCUUUGUGAAAGGAACACUUAAUUGGGACCUCAAUAGAGGAACCCUGUGGAGGAAUAGGAAAGAAUGCAGGGCAGCUGAGAACUGUUGUGUUAAUUAGUUCAAAGUGGAAGAAGCUGACUGUGAUCUAUAAAGGCAGGCUUUUCAGGCAAAAGGUAAGGAGAAAGUGGUGCUGAGAGGAGGGCUACGGAAGGUCCUGUGGAUUUGGACGUCAGAACCACAGAGGUAGGUACACAGUGGGGUGUAUGGCUGGGUUCUCCAAAGGAGGCAGGGUAGGUGUGGAAGAUUUUUUGAAGGCAGAAAAACAUGGGGGCUACAACAAUAUUUUUUCAAGGGUUAAAAGGAGCAAAAUAAGUAGGUACUCCUGGAAAAGGAGACCUAGGGUACUCCAGAAUCAGAAAAAUGGGUAAACCAGAGACGGAAACUUUAAGAGAGAGGUUGGAAAUGAAGGUGUUGGAGAUGGUGACUCAGAAGUAAAAGGACUCACUUGAAGAGGGCAGGGACUUUGCUCGUUUGUUUUAUCUCCAGAGCUUGUCACGAGGCCUGGCUCUGGGUGUGCAGUCAGUUGUUACUUUGGAUGCCGUAGGCAAUGGAGGUUGGCUAAGACUUCUAGGUCACUGGAAUUCUUCCUGGAGAAGGACCAGAAGAGAGGGAUCUUGAGGUGUGCUUUUUCUUUUGCCUCCCUGUUCAUGUCAUUCCAUUGUUCCUCAUCUCCACACACUGGCGGUUUUGGUUUCAGCAUUCCUAAAACAAAUGCAACAAUCCCUUUGCUUUAGUGGCUUUUCUGGACAGGCAGCAUGAGGAGAGGGGGUUUUUGGCUUUGGUGAAAAUCAAUCUUAAUUUCUAGGUAGAUUUCAAAUUUCAAAAGCUUUCCUUUGGUCUGUUUUUCCCCCCCAAGGACUUCUGUGUUUCUUCUCCUCCACCUUGCUAUUCAGCAGAACAGGGACAAAAGUGACACCAAAGUGCUCCAGUGUGCCUGCCUUAGGAAGCUUUCCUGGGCCCGCUGUUCAGAAUCUUAGAUGGAAAUGUCCACACGGCACCAUCAUACGCCCGCCAGAGCAAACUAGAGCGUCUGUCACAUGGGGUUCAGGAUCAGUGUGAGAAAGGCAGCCAGCAGGUAGGGGAGCCCUGCCAACAAGGUUGAUGGAGCCCCACUUCCACACUAAACCAAAGCCCCCCUGCCCCAGAGCAGCCUGCUCCCCUCCCUUCCUUCCGCUGAGCACAGCCCGAGACACAUUUGACCAGAACUGCAACAUUUCAAACAUGAACCAAGGUCUGCCUGGAAAUCCUAAUUAAAAGUGUUCCAUUCCCAGGUGACCCAAUCACAUCCUGCCUAAAACUUCUGGCCCACAUCCCACCACCCAGAUGCUGAAAAGAAACCUUCCCCCACUUAACACCAAAACCUGCCCUCAAUGUUUCUUCAGGGGAC
rnacentral:lncRNA from 1 species